GUUUUGUUUUGAAUCCGAGCAAUCUGGUAGAAUAAAAAAAUAAUAAUAAUACAAGCUUACGAAAGACAAGUAUGAUCUACAACAAGAGAGACAAGGAGGACUUUCAACUAAUAUGACUGAGGCAAGUCAAGAUUGUGGUAUGCACUCUGAACUGUCGUUUGAUGGUCAGUAUGGCCUAGGGUUCCGACCUUGUCCACCACCAUCACUCUGUCAUCCUGUGGGAGAUUUGUUCUAGGAUGUAACUAUCUUCAAAUCUGAAGGAAUUUCCGAAACAUGUAAAACAAAGCAAGUACGAGUAGUGUAAACACCAUUUGAGAAGGAAAGAAUUCAAAAAAAGAGUUGAGGUACUUACGUAGAGUCAAAGUUGCGCCACCUAUCUCCCUGUUUAUACUGCCACUCUAUGGAUGAGGGUAUUGCCUGCAUCAGUGACCUGUGAUGAUGUUGAACUGCU